rnacentral:rRNA from 1 species
UACGUAGGGUGCAAGCGUUGUCCGGAAUUAUUGGGCGUAAAGAGCUUGUAGGCGGUUUGUCGCGUCUGCUGUGAAAUUUCGGGGCUCAACCCCGAACUUGCAGUGGGUACGGGCAGACUAGAGUGUGGUAGGGGAGACUGGAAUUCCUGGUGUAGCGGUGAAAUGCGCAGAUAUCAGGAAGAACACCCGUGGCGAAGGCGGUUCUCUGGAACGCAACUGACGCUGAGACGCGAAAGCGUGGGGAGCAAACAGG